CACCCUCAGUAGUUAAAAACUUGAAAAUGGAGGAAAAGCGCACCGGAACCCCACCGCCGGCGGCUUCAUCGGCCGAGGCUCCGGUGACCGAUGCACCUGCCAGUUCGAGGCGGAGAGGCGGAGGACAGAAGAGAAAAGCAAGCGCCACCGGCAGCGGCAGCAGUUCGACUCCUCAAACAACCUCGUCCAAGCGCCAGGCUCGUGAGAAGCCGCCGCCCGUACCUUUCCCUCCGAUCCACAAUGGUCCGCUAACCAGAGCUCGGCUGCUGCCGAAUAACGGGGCCGCUUUUGUACCUUCGCCUUCCGGUGUGAAGAAUGAGUUGGACGAGGUGGCUAAGAGAGAGGCUGGAGGCGGAGAAGUUUUGAAGGGGGACGAACCAAAUGAGGCGGCCAAGGAGGAUUUGCAAGCUCUGGAGGCCAAAUUUGAAGCUGAUUAUGAAGCAAUUAGAUCACGAGAGUCUAUUGCUCAUGUGGUGCCCAAUCAUGCUGGGUGGUUUUCUUGGACAAAAAUUCAUCCCCUGGAAGAGAAAACAUUGCCAUCUUUCUUCAGUGGGAAAUCUGAAAGUAGGACUCCUGAAAUAUACAUGGAGAUACGUAAUUGGAUUAUGAAAAAAUUUCAUGCAAACCCCAACACAAAUAUUGAGUUCAAAGAUUUGUCAGAGAUAUCGGUUGGCGAGUUGGAUGCAAGGCAGGAGGUGAUGGAGUUUUUGGACUACUGGGGGCUGAUUAAUUACCACCCUUUCCCAAAAGAUGAUCUGACCACUGUGAGCAUCACAGGUGAUGCUCAUAAAGACGGAAAGGCUGAAUCUUUGUUGGAAAGUUUGUUUCGAUUUGAAUCCGAUCAAUCAUGUAUGCGAGUUAUUCCCAGGAACUGUGAGGCAACACCAUCUGUGUCAUCUGGGUUAUUUCCAGAGUCUGCAAUUUCUGAAGAGCUGGUCAAGUCUGAGGGAGUUGAGUACCAUUGCAAUUCUUGCUCAGCUGAUUGCUCUCGCAAGCGUUAUCAUUGCCAGAAGCAGGCAGAUUUUGAUUUAUGCACUGAAUGUUUUAACAAUGGGAAGUUCGGUUCUGAUAUGUCCCCAUCCGAUUUUAUUGUGAUGGAGCCUGCUGAGGCCGGUGGUGCUAGUGGUGGAAAUUGGACAGAUCAGGAGACCCUCCUACUCCUUGAAGCUUUGGAACUUUUCAAGGAAAAUUGGAAUGAGAUUGCUGAGCAUGUCGCUACUAAAACUAAAGCUCAGUGUAUUUUGCAUUUUGUCCAAAUGCCAAUUGAAGAUACAUUCUUGGAUAGUUGCGAUGAAGGUGACAUUCCUUCUAAAGGAAAUUCAGAUGCAGUUCCAAUUAAUGAUGAUACUUCAGCUCCAAAAGAUGGUCCUGAAACAGCUGAGAGCAAGGUCAAGGCAAAAGACGACGACCCUGCAUCUUCUCCGAUGGAAAGUUCAAAGCCUGAAGACACUGAUGGAUCAACAGUCUGUGAAGUUGGUGAGAAUUUUGCUGUGAAAGCACUAACUGAAGCAUUUGAAAUUGUUAAUUCUCUCCCUUCGCCGGGUGAACGGCUUUCUUUUGCUGAAGCCGGUAAUCCUGUGAUGACACUGGUUGCAUUCCUAGUAAGACUAUUGGAACCUAAUGUUGCCACCGCCUCUGCACGUAGCUCUUUAAAAUCCAUUUCUGGCAACUGUACUGGUGAUCAGCUGGCAAUGAGACACUGUUUCCGCUUGGAAGAUCCACCUGAUGAAAAAAACUCUGUUCUUUCUGAAAGACCUGCUGAAAUGGUUGAGCAAGAAACUCCUAGAAGUGAUGAGCAAUACCCUGAAAAGCGUGAAGAGAACUUGAGCCCAGUUGUUGAUGGUGCCCAUUUAUCAACUGAGGAGGACAACAAGAGUAAGAAGGAUUCUCUUGUGGAAGAAGAGAGACCACUGGCUUCUCCAAGUCUUGCAUGUGUAGAUGAACCUGCAUCUGCCAAGGAAACUAAUGAAACAACAACUAAUGAGGAAUCAGAACCUACACAUGUCAUUGAAUCAGAUAAACCAGAUGUCCCGAAGGAACAGGAGCCAGCGAAUGCUGAGAAAUCAGAUGAUUUAGCAAUGGAAGUGGAAGUUCCUCCUGGUUUUGAGAAGGAGCCAGAUGAUGCAGCCCCACUGGGGGAACCUUCUGAAUCAGCGGAUGUUUCAAAGGAUAUGGACUUGGAAAUGAAAGAUCGUGUGGAACUAACUGCCUCAAAUUUGGUGGCAGAGAAUGAAGCAAAUAAAGAAGCUAAAGAUAUCAUUGAUGAGGAGAAAUGUGCUUUGGAGAUGAAAAAUGAUCUUGCCACUGAUAAGAUAAAACGAGCUGCGGUUACUGCUCUAUCAGCUGCUGCAGUGAAGGCAAAGCUUCUAGCUAAGCAAGAAGAACAACAAAUUCAACGACUUGCUGCACUCUUAAUUGAAAAGCAGUUGCACAAGUUGGAAACCAAGUUGGCUUUUUUCAAUGAUAUGGAGAAUGUUGUAAUGAGAGUUCGGGAGCAGUUGGAAAGGUCAAAGCAGAGGCUUUUUCACGAGCGGGCGCAAAUAAUAGCAACUCGACUUGGGAAGCCAGGUUCUCGGACAAUGUCACAACAAUUGCCUGUCAACAGAGUGGCAAUGGCUUUUGCAAACUCUGCACCGAGGCCCAUUAUUGGUAUGAUCUCUCCAAGGCCACCGGUUUCUAAACCCAUAAUAGCAUCAAAUCCAGCGUCAAGUUCAUUUCUACCUGCAACUAUUGCAGGAAGUUCAGUGCAGCCGUCCAAUCAGGACCAACCUUCUUCAGUUGUCACUAAGUAGCUUCUGGUGACAUGCACAUGGAUCGUCUCAUUCUUGCUGGUCCUGACUGUGGCCCCCAUUUAACAAGUGUGCCAGCAUGUUUUGUUCGGCUAUAUAAUUGGAAGAUCACCGAGACCAUUAAAAGCAUCUAUAUGCUUCUUCGAAUGGAUUGGAGGCUGGAUCCAGAUUGAAUUGGCUCAUAAUUUGUUUGCAUCCCCGUGGAAGAACUUAUUAUGAAGCCUCUAGAUGGAUGUAGAAAUUUUCUCACUAAAGCAUCUUAGGUUAGAUGAAUUGUUAAAAUAUACAGCAUGCAGUUUCUAAGAGAAUUGGUGAUUGUGGUCCUUUUUUUUUUUUUAACCUCCAAUUGAUAGGCAUAGGAUUUAAACCCUGAGUCCUCUCCUAACCACUGAGUUAGCCCUGAGUUAUUGUGGUAUUUAGUGUUAACCAACUUUGAAUU